rnacentral:sRNA from 1 species
AGAUUCCACUUUUCAUUCCUAUUCUGAUGUUCUUGGUGAACGUAUACCUGUUUAUCGCCCCUAUCAUCAUCCAGCCCAAGCUAGAGUACGUCUACGUGGCAGCCAGUGUGCUGGGAGCUUCCUUCUUGCUGUAUAUUCCUUUUAUAUAUUUUGGCCUUAAGAUGCCUUUAUACGAUAACUUUGUCACGUGGUUGCAACUGAUCUUUAAAAUUUGUCCCCCGACUCAGAAUACUGAUUUGUAAAAAUCAUCACAUCACAGACUAGCCGCCUUCGUUGUGCAUAUAAAACCUAUUGUACAUAAUGACUAUAGUGAACUUUCUCAAUCAUUUUCACAUUUGUUUUUAUUAUAUUUUUGUAUUACAAAAAUCGAUGUGUCA